GUGCUCGCUUUGGCAGCACAUUACAUUGGAAGGAUACAGAGAAAGUUAGCAUGGCCACUGCACACACAAAUUUGCACAUAAAUUCCUGAAGCACUCCAUAAUUUU
rnacentral:snRNA from 1 species